rnacentral:lncRNA from 1 species
UUGCGAGAUUGGGCAGCCUUGGUUAUACGGGACGCGGAAGCGCAGUGCAUCAAAACGUGUCGAUUUGUGAGAUUUCCGUCGAUUUCUGAAAUUCCAAAGCCAUUGUUCAAUUUUCUGGAUUUUUAACGUAUUUUGCUUUCUUCACGACGGAAACAUGGACGAGAUCGGUGAAUCCCUUCAAUAUAUUUCUUUUGAAGGUAAAUUUGUAUGAUUUUUUCUCAUAUACUUACAUUCCAAUAUCAGUUCUUAAUUUAUGUACUGUAUUAUUACUAGAGUGAUGAAUAUUGAUAAGAAUGAUGACGUACUAUAUGAUUGUAAUUUGCAUAUUGAAAAAUAAAAGGUCUUCGCUACAUACUAUAUUAAAUAUAACUUGAGGGAAAAUAUUUUUUUCAUAAAUUCGCCUGUGGAGGUUGAUCUUGACCGAGAUCUUGACACAGGUAUUGAAUAAAGACAAUGUUGCUAUUGUUAAGACAAUGUUGCUAUUCUAUUGUCUUGUUGACUGUUAUGAUUUUAUUAUUUUAGUAUUAUGUGAACCAAUUUAUAUUUAAAUAAUUCUGAUCAACGUGUUCAUAGGGUUUUAAGGCUGGUUAUGAUUUCAAAGUCCUUACUCGGUACACUUAUAUUUAUUUAGUAUUUUAGUAAAUUUUCUUUGACCAAUUUUGAGUGAUAUCUUUGCCAGGUUCUUUGUUAGUUAUUUAUAAUUACUGCGUAGUUAUAUUAAAUGUCACUUACACGACAGACAAGUGAAAAAAAUGCUUUGCUAGACCAAAGAUAUCAGAUUCAAACCAUUCAAUGCCCAUUGCAAUCAAGCAAUUAC